rnacentral:rRNA from 1 species
GGGGGAAUAUUGCACAAUGGGGGAAACCCUGAUGCAGCGACGCCGCGUGAGCGAAGAAGGCUUUCGAGUCGUAAAGCUCUGUCCUAUGAGAAGAUAAUGACGGUAUCAUAGGAGGAAGCCCUGGCUAAAUACGUGCCAGCAGCCGCGGUAAUACGUAUGGGGCGAGCGUUGUCCGGAAUUAUUGGGCGUAAAGGGUACGUAGGUGGUUUUUUAAGUCAGGUGUCAAAGCGUGGAGCUUAACUCCAUUAAGCACUUGAAACUGAAAGACUUGAGUGAAGGAGAGGAAAGUGGAAUUCCUAGUGUAGCGGUGAAAUGCGUAGAUAUUAGGAGGAAUACCGGUGGCGAAGGCGACUUUCUGGACUUUUACUGACGCUCAGGUACGAAAGCGUGGGGAGCAAACAGG